CCGGGCCGCGUACAGAUGUCGCAGCCGGACCGCUUCCCCCCAGUCAUUCGCCAGAUGCGGGCCAGAGUCGGGCAACGGGAGGCUCUCCACGCCGAUGCUGCUUCCACACACAGUGACAACGAACGUCUGACCUCAGCUGUCUAAACCGAAGAAAUGAACCAUGCCAAAUAAGGCGGAGCCUCAAAGCCACACCCACCUCCAUAAUCGCCACGGAUCAAAUCGAAGAUGUUGACCAACCUGCGAACAUUUCCGCUGUGAGGAUUCAUACUGUAGUAAAUAAGAGCUCUCAGGUGGCACAUCAGAUGGCCUCUAUAACACCUGCUCUUCAAAGCUCAGUCAACUUCUUCACCUCCUUUUAAUCUGAACUU